GUUAAAAUCAAACCAAUUAUGGUCGGAUUUUUUUUCCAACACCAAACCAAAUCAAACCAAACCAUAGUCGAAUUUUUCUCUCAGUUUGACUCGAACUAUCGGGUUGAUUCGAUUUAUCGAUUUUCUUUGUACACCCCUAAGUGCCAUCAAAAUAAUGAAUUUCCUUUAUUAACUUUCCAUAUCAUAUAUGGCUCAGCUUUCUUUCUACUCUCCAGGAGCUUUUUGCAGCUCUAUGAUUGAGUAAAGAUCUAUUUUCUAGCAAUGAUAUUGGUCCUUAGACAAUACUUUGCCGUGAUGAAAGAAGCCUAUAGACACUGAUUAAGGCUCGGCCUCAGUUAUAUCGGAUCAUAAUACGAGGAUGAAUAAAUAAGCUCGUGGAACAAUGGCCGAUCAAGAUCGAUAUCAACCGUGACCGAGUCCGAAGCGAGAAAGAGAUCGAAUGAGAACGGAGAAGCCUGCUAGGUCGAAUAACAGAAACCCGAUAUAGCCGUGAUCAGGCGAGGAUUGUGGCGGAAACCUCGGCGCGUAUCAAGCCAAGACCGGAUAUUUAGCCCAUCAUGGGAUUUCCUUCUGUAAUUAUAAUUGUACCACAAAAAGAAUUCCUCUACUAUAUAAAGAGGGUCCUAAUCAUUUUGUAAUCACAUACAUUCUCGCAGAUCAAAGCAGUAUAUUACAUCUUUUCAUUUAAGCUCUA